AGGAUUUUUGCAUGGACCCACGAA
rnacentral:siRNA from 1 species